CCCAGACUCCUACGGGAGGCAGCAGUGGGGAAUAUUGCACAAUGGGGGGAACCCUGAUGCAGCAAUGCCGCGUGAAGGAUGAAGGUUUUCGGAUUGUAAACUUCUUUUGUACGGGACGAAGAAAGUGACGGUACCGUAAGAAUAAGCCACGGCUAACUACGUGCCAGCAGCCGCGGUAAUACGUAGGUGGCAAGCGUUAUCCGGAUUUACUGGGUGUAAAGGGCGAGUAGGCGGGAUUGCAAGUCAGAUGUGAGAACUAUGGGCUCAACCGAUAGAGUGCAUUUGAAACUGCAGUUCUUGAGUGAUGGAGAGGCAGGCGGAAUUCCUAGUGUAGCGGUGAAAUGCGUAGAUAUUAGGAGGAACACCAGUGGCGAAGGCGGUCUGCUGGACAGCAACUGACGCUGAGGCGCGAAAGCGUGGGGAGCAAACAGGAUUAGAUACCCUGGUAAG
rnacentral:rRNA from 1 species